rnacentral:rRNA from 1 species
AUUGAACGCUGGCGGCAGGCUUAAUACAUGCAAGUCGAACGAGUGGCGGACGGGUGAGUAACAGUUAGGAAUCUGCCUAGUAGCGGGGGAAAGCUCGGGGGAACUCGAAUUAAUACCGCAUACUAUUAGAUGAGUCUAAAUCAGAUUAGCUAGUUGGUGGGGUAAGGGCCCACCAAGGCGACGAUCUGUAACUGGUUUGAGAGGAUGAUCAGUCACACCGGAACUGAGACACGGUCCGGACUCCUACGGGAGGCAGCAGUGGGGAAUAUUGGACAAUGGGGGCAACCUGAUCCAGCCAUGCCGCGUGUGUGAAGAAGGCCUUUUGGUUGUAAAGCACUUUAAGCAGGGAGGCGUUACCUGCAGAAUAAGCACCGGCUAACUCUGUGCCAGCAGCCGCAGUAAUAC